AAGAAAUUAGUUAAAUUAUAACAUUAAUAUGUCAUAUUAAAAUUAUUAAAUACUAAUAUUUCUUU
rnacentral:tRNA from 1 species